rnacentral:rRNA from 1 species
UACGUAGGUGGCGAGCGUUGUCCGGAUUUACUGGGCGUAAAGAGCGCGCAGGCGGCUGGUCAAGUCCGAUGUGAAAGCUCCCGGCUUAACUGGGAAAUUGCAUCGGAAACUGAUCGGCUGGAAGGUGGGAGAGGGUAGCGGAAUUCCCGGUGUAGAGGUGAAAUUCGUAGAUAUUAGGAAGAACACCAGUGGCGAAGGCGGCUCACUGGCUCGGUACUGACGCUGAGGCGCGAAAGCGUGGGGAGCAAACAGG